rnacentral:rRNA from 1 species
CCUACGGGUGGCAGCAGUGGGGAAUAUUGGACAAUGGGGGGAACCCUGAUCCAGCCAUGCCGCGUGUGUGAAGAAGGCCCUCGGGUUGUAAAGCACUUUCAGUGAGGAAGAACGCCUGGUGGUUAAUACCCAUCAGGAAAGACAUCACUCACAGAAGAAGCACCGGCUAACUCCGUGCCAGCAGCCGCGGUAAUACGGAGGGUGCGAGCGUUAAUCGGAAUUACUGGGCGUAAAGCGCGCGUAGGUGGCUUGAUAAGCCGGUUGUGAAAGCCCCGGGCUCAACCUGGGAACGGCAUCCGGAACUGUCAAGCUAGAGUGCAGGAGAGGAAGGUAGAAUUCCCGGUGUAGCGGUGAAAUGCGUAGAGAUCGGGAGGAAUACCAGUGGCGAAGGCGGCCUUCUGGACUGACACUGACACUGAGGUGCGAAAGCGUGGGUAGCAAACAGGAUUAGUACCCCAGUAGUC